GUGAUGAUUACUGAACACAGAACAUCCAACAUGGAGUUGGGACUGAUCUGGGUUUUACUUAUUGCCCUUUUAAAUGGUGUCCAGUGUGAGGUGCAGCUGGUGGAGUCUGGGGGAGGCUUGGUGCAGCCUGGAAGUUCCCUAAAACUCUCCUGUGCAGCUUCUGGAUUCACUUUUAGUAACUACUGGAUGGACUGGUUCCGCCAGGCUCCAGGGAAGGGCUUGGAGUGGGUUGGUGUAAUUAAACACAAACCAGAUAACUAUGCAACAUUCUAUGCGGAGUCUGUGAAAGGCAGAUUCACCAUCUCAAGAGACGAUUCCAAAAGCAGCCUCUACCUGCAAAUGAACAGCUUAAAAGUCGAAGACACCGCCAUUUAUUACUGUACUAUAGACACAGUGAGAGACCUUCAGUGA